UAUACAUAUAUACACGAGUUUAUAGUACCAAUAAAGACAAUGAAAAAAAGUUCUAAGAAGCUCCACUGCACAUCAGUUCCUCCAGACUGGGCCUUAGCACGUGUGCUUUAAGCAUCUGAUCUCGUUUGCAUUUGUUUUAGUUAUUAAAUUGAACCCCUCUAAGUAAAAACAACAACAACAACAACGAGCUGAAGUGUUAGCUGUCCUUUCUAAUUUCAACAAAUUAGUUGAGAAGCACUUUUGAAUUCCUAGAUUCUGUUCAAGCAGAAGAGCUGUAAGGAAAUCUCUUCAGCUUUAAAGAGAAGACUGAGUUCUUUGCCUCACUCUUUAUGGCCAUUCUUAACAGACCUUGUAUUGGUAUCGCAAGGAAUUUUCCCUUGAGCACUACUUUGGCAGGUAAACACAAAGUUUAACUUUUUUUUUUUAAAUACAAAGUAAGAUUAUGUGACAAUCAGUGUAUGCAUUUUAUACUGUUUGCCUUUUUCUUCAGAACACAAUCUCUCUCCCGUCCUAUUUGCCAAGUGACUAUUUUGAUUCUCAGGGAGCAGAAGAUAGAACAGGUCCUACGGAAGAAGGAAGUGAACCAGGAAGAACUCACUACUCCAGAAGUUGUCAGAGGAACUACUGGCAUCAUGGCUUGAUAAACAAUGACAAAAGGUGAACACCACAGGAAGCAAGCCUUUCAAAACCUCUCAAAUUUAAGGCAACUUUAUGAGGUAGGACAGCCACCCAGACCAAGCAGGAACAAGCAGUUUGGAAAAAUCAGGCUGUCUGCUCUGAUGGACAUGACUGCAUUGCUUCCACUUAAGUCCCAUUUUAAGGAUAUCCAGGGAAGCACAAAAGGGACAGAAGGAUCUUAUAUUUCAUAGUUAAAUAAAAUUUGAGUUUUGAUUAGAUGAGAGAACA
rnacentral:lncRNA from 1 species